GUGACCUCAGCGUAGGCAAGAACACCCGGUGAGUUUAAGCAUAUAAUUAAGCAGAUGAAAAGAAACUUACAAGGAUUCCCCUAGUAGUGGCGAGUGAACUAGGAAGAGCCCAGUAUGAAAAUUGGGUGGCAGCAUCGCCUGAAUUGUAGUUUGUAGAAGCAUCCUCAGCAGCGGACCUAGUCCAAGUCCCUUAGAAGGGGGUGCCUGAGAGGGUGAUAGCCCUAUUGCCCGGGACCCUACUGCAUUGCGAGGUGUUGUUGGUGAGUCGGGUUGUUUGGGAAUCUAGUCCUAAUUGGGUGGUAAAUUUCAUCCAGGCUAAAUACGGGCGAGAGACCGACAGCGAACAAGUACCACGAGGGAAAGAUGAAAAUGACUUUGAAAAGAGAAUUAAAGAGUGCUUGAAAUUGUCAAGAGGGAAGUGGAUGGGGGAUAUCGAUGCUUCUUAAUCAGAUGUGGAAUGGCUCAAGCUGGUCUGCUGCUCAACUUGAGGUGAAAACUAACACGGGUUGCUACAUCGUCACAAGCGCGGGUCGAUUACUUCUUGUCGAUUUGCUUGUGCGUGGUCAAGGAUCAAAGCAUGCGCCCUUGUGGUGGGCCCUGUGCACCUGCACGCUCGUGGUGUUGGUUGGCGAGCUUUCCAUUCGACCCAUCUUGAAACACAGACCAAGGAGUCUAACAUGUGUGCGAGCCAGCGGGUUUGAAAACCUGCGAGGCAUAAGGAAGCUGAUGGGUGAGAUCCCCUCUCUGUGGGGGGGGUGCAUCGUCGAUCGACCUUGAGCUUAUGUGAAGGGUUCAAGUGCGAGCACACCUAUUGGGACCCAAAAGAUGGUGAAAUAUGCCUAAGUAGGGCAAAGACAGAGGAAACUCUAGUGGAGGCUCGUAGUGAUACUGACGUGCAAAUCGUUCAUCUGACUUGGGUAUAGGGGUGAAAGACUAAUCGAACCAUAUAAUAGCUAGUUUCCUCCACAUUUUCCCUUAGUAUAGCUGGAGCUCAUGUGCAAGUUUUAUCGGGUAAAGCAAAUUAUUAGAGGCAUCGAGGGCGUAACGCCCUCAACCUAUUAUCAAACUUUAAAUAGGUUAGAGGGUGUAGAUACUCCAUUGAGCCGUGUCGUGGAAUCGAGAGCUCCAAGUGGGCCAUUUUUGGUAAGCAUAACUGGUGAUGCAGGAUGAAACAAAAGUCAAGUUACGGUGCCAAAUUGCAUGCUAACCUAGAGCCCACAAAGGGUGUUGGUUGAUUAAGAUAGUAGGACAAUGGUCAUGGAAGUCAAAAUCUGCUAAGGAGUGUGUUACAACUCACUUGCCGAAUCAACUAGCCCCAAAAAUGGAUGGCGCUAAAGUGCGCAACCUAUACUUGACCAUCGAAGUAAUUGCCUAGCUCUGAUGAGUAGGAGGACAUGGGGGUCAUUGAGAAACCUCGGGCAUGAGCUUGGGUGGAUCGGCCCCCAGUGUAGAUCUUGGUGGUAGUAGAAAAUAUUCAAUUGAGAACUUUGAAGACUGAAGUGGGGAAAGGUUCCAUGUGAACAACACUUGGACAUGGGUUAGUUGAUCCUAAGAGAUGGGGAAGCCUUGUAUCAAGGGUUCACUCUACAUGAGCAUCUAAAGGGAAUUACGUUAAUAUUCUUGAAUUGGGACAUGGCGGUAGGUGGAAAUGUUAGGAAAUUCAGAGACGUCGUUGGGGGCCCUAGGAAGAGUUAUAUUUUCUUUUUAACAACUUUCCCACCUUGGAAUCGGUUCACCCAAAGAUAGGGUCCAGCAGCUGGAAGAGCACCUCUUGUCUUGCAGUGUCUGGUGCACCCUCGACGGGCCUUGAAAAUCUGGAUGACCAAGUAUCGUUCAUGCCCGGUCAUACUCAUAACCACAUUAGGUCUCCAAGGUGAACAACCUCUCGUCAAUAAAAUAAUGUAGGUAAGGGAAGUCGGAAAACCUCUUAGGGCUAGGCCUAGGGGUCUAUGCCCUCAACUCGUGGGCUGUCGAAAGUCUGCUCGAGCUGCUCUCGCGGGGAGGGUGUGCAGUUGCGUGACAAUUGGGUUAAUGGCGUAGAAUUACCCCUGCUGGGGGCUUUUCCCUAGGCAUCGAACAAUCGACUCAAAACUGGUAUGGACAAGGGGAAUCCAACUGUUUAAUUAAAACAAAGCAUUAUGAUGGUCCCUGCGGAUGUUGACACCAUGUGAUUUUUGCCCAGUGCUUUGAAUGUCAAAGUCAUUAAAUUCAACCAAGCGCGGGUAAAUGACAUGAGUAACUAUGACUCUCUUAAGGUAGCCAAAUGCCUCAUAAUCUAAUUAGUGAUGCACAUGAAUGGAUUAAUGAUAUUCCCACUGUCCCUAUCUACUAUCUAGUGAAACCACAACCAAGGGAACGAGCUUGGCAGAAUCAACGGGGAAAGAAGACCCUGUUGAGCAUAACUCUAGUCCGACUUUGCGAAAUGACUUGAGAGGUGUAGAAUAAAUGGGAGUUGCUUUCGGUGCAAGUGAAAUACCACUACUUUUAACGUUAUUUUACUUAUUCUGCAGGGCAGAGAUGGAGCGUUGCCCCUGUUUUUGGCCUUAAGGCAUGUUUUGGCGAGUCGAUCCAGGCGGAAGACAUUGCCAGGUGGGGACUUCGGUUUGGGCGGCACAUUUGUUAAAGAUAACGCAGGUGUCCUAAGGUGAGUUCAACGAGAACAAAAAUCUCGUGUGGAACAAAAGGGUAAAAGCUCAUUUGAUUUUGAUUUUCAGUAUGAAUACAAACUGUGAAAGCAUGGCCUAUCAAUCCUUUAGACUUUCAGAAUUUGAAGCUAGAGGUGUCAGAUAAGUUACCACAGGGAUAACUGGCUUGUAGCAGCCAAGCAUUCAUAGCAACGUUGCUUUUUGAUCCUUCGAUGCCGACUCUUCCUAUCAUUGUGAAGAAAAAUUCACCAAGUGUUGGAUUGUUCACCCACCAAUAGGGAGCGUGAGCUAGGUUUAGGUCGUCAUGAAACAGGUUAGUUUUACCUUACUGAUGAACCAAACUGCAAUAGUAAUUCAACUUAGUAUGAGAGGAACCAUUGAUUUACACAAUUGGUCAUCAUGCUUGGUUGAAAAGCUAGUGGCAUGAAUCUACUGUGUGUUGGAUUAUGACUGAAUGCUUCUAAGUCAAAAUCCACGCUAGAAGCAACACAUGUCACUCUUCGACUGUAUCUUGAUCCGCAGUAGGGGCAUCGCUUUGUCACCCCUAGGGGCCCAUGUCAUUUGCAAACCAUGAUCGUGAAGCAUUUCGUUCAGGGAAGCUUUGAAGUUCAAUUCCAAAUGGUUGUUGAGAUAACUCCUUUGUAGAUGACUUAAAUAUGAGACGAGGUAUUGUAAGUGGUAGAGUGGCCUUGCUACCACAAUCCACUGAGAUUCAACCUUGGUC
rnacentral:rRNA from 1 species